UGCCAGCCGCCGCGGUAAUACGUACCGGACAAACGUUAUUCGGAAUCACUGGGCUUAAAGAGUACGUAGGCUGUUUUGUAGGUGAGAUGUGAAAUCCCACGGCUCAACCGUGGAACUGCGUUUCAAACCACAGAACUUGAGGAAGACAGGGGUGAGCGGAACUGAUGGUGGAGCGGUGAAAUGCGUUGAUAUCAUCAGGAACACCGGUGGCGAAGGCGGCUCACUGGGUCGAUAUUGACGCUGAGGCGCGAAGGCGUGGGUAGCGAACGGGAUUAGAUA
rnacentral:rRNA from 1 species